UUGUCUUUCUCUCUGCUCGGUUGGGGAAGUGGGAAGGCGAGGAGGGACUGUAAGGACUUAAUGUGAUCCCAGCUGCAAUCAGACAAUUGUUGGCACCCUGACAUGGUGAUUAAUGCUGCUGGAUGACGGCUGCCGGUGGCACAUAUGCGUGGAGAGCACAUCACUUUUUCCAGUGGCCUCUGCCUAAAUACCUUCAGCCAAAGGAACUGGGAUGCUUUCCAAAGCAACCAAGCUUUCUGCAGGCAGAGCACCACGCCGUGCCCGGAGGCCCUGUGACGCCUGCUGCAUGCUCUCCAGCCCUGCCCUGCUGCGAGGGAGUGCAGCGGGACCAGCCCCGGGACAUGGCCAGAGGAGACCCGGGUGAAAUACCCUGUAGCCACGAAUGCACCCCGAAAGGAGCAGCCCCGAGUAUCCCGCGUGCUGCCUCUGCUGUUGGCUCUGCCCAGGGGGGUUUAAGGGAACUCCACCGGCCAAGCAGCCCUGCGGAACAGGGGCCCGGCGAGGACGUGAAGACACCCCAAAGCCCGUCUCCCCUUCUGCGGCUCGCGGCUUUGGUCCAGGAGGAAGGUGCCUGCCCAUCCGCCCGGGAUGCGGUGCGGAAGAGCCGUGCCCGAGGAGCAGAAAGGCCCUGGGCAGCUGUGGCACUCGCUGUCCCUGCCGGUGCCGGCUCCCCUCGCCGGCGCUUUCGAGGAACAGAGGAGCGGUGUGCUGGUCCACUCAAUUUUUGUUGGAAACCUGGAAGUCCCGCUGGCCUGCAUGUGCCUCGUGGGAUGCUUUGGAGCUUGCUGCCAGGUUCUGGAGAACUGUCCGAAUUUGUGUUUCUUACAAGCACUUUUUUCUGCGGGAGGAGGAGGAAGUUCUUGUAUAAAAAUGGAAACGCACCCCUUCUGCCAAGCUAUUAAUUCUGCUUCCUAUGGAAACCGAGAGGUCCCUGCCUUUACUCUGUGUUUCUGCACUGAACUUCCAAGUUUAUUUUUAUGCCCAGAUUUGGCAAAGCAUUUAAGCCUGAACGUAGCAUUAUGCGUGAGCUGAAGUCCAUCCCUGCAUCAGGGCGUAUCUGAAACACCUUAUAGCACACACAGACACGUGCUUCAGCAAACACCCCCCGCACUGGGUUUGUUCCUUACUACAGAGACUUUCUUUUUUUGUCCUUGCCAAGUUAUCAUUUGCUUUAAUUAAUUUCGCACAGCAAGCCUGGGAGCUGACUGGUGGUUUCAAGCCUCUAGAAUAGCCAGGGAAACCAAUUUAAUUAGCUCAAGUGAGCCAAAGUUACUUAAGCGAUUUGUAAUAAGUUCCAGGCUCUCCCACACCAAAGGGGUUUCAGCCGAGGACAGAAACUUCCUGAGCCUGUUCUGCAGCGCGGCGGGGACGGGGCUCUUCAUGCUGCAGCCGAUGAACACUUGUGUGGGGACGCGGAGCAGCCCUGGCUGGGGAAUUCAGCGGGUGCUGUCAUGGGUUUUGCAUCCCUGAUGACAGGGCUGUGUUUUUGGGUGCAGCGGGCGUCGCUCCCCCUCUGU